AGAGAGGGAGAAUCCCAAGCAGGCUCUGCACUGUCAAUGCAGAGCCUGAUGUGGGGCUUGAACUCACAAACCGUGAGAUCACAACCUGAGCCGAUAAUCAAGAGUCAGAUACUUAACUGACUGAGCCACUCAGACGUGCCGAAAAUGUCCUUUUCACAAAGAUGUAUAAUAAAAUAUAUUUGUGAGAAGUAACAUGACAAUCUGGAAUAUACUUUAAAACAUUGCAGCAAAAUGAGGGAGGGGGCAAGAAUAGAUUAUAUCAAUCAGGCAAGAUGUUAGUUACUGAAACUGGGAAAUGGUGCUUUUUCCUCUUCUUUAGUGUCUGGAGUUUUUCAUACUAAAAAGUUUUUUUAGAGCCCAGCAUUGCUCAAGGACAGAUCCAAAAGAACAUAUCUUUUUUAAUUAAAAAAUUUUUUAAUGUUUAUUUAUUUUUGAGAGAGACAGAGUGAGCAGGAGAGAGGCAGAGAGACAGAGGGAGACACAGAAUGUGAAGCGGGCUCUAGGCUCCAAGCUGUCAGCACAGAGCCCGAUGCGGCACUGGAACUUGGGAAGGGCGAGAUCAUGACCUGAGCCGAAGCCUGACCCUUAACUGACGGAGCCCACCAGGCACCCCUGGAUCCAAAGGUUAGAAGCUGCUAAGACAAACACGAGAUCUUCUGAGCGAGCCAGCCCGUCCAUCUGCACCAGUAACUCUGUCUUCAUCCGGAGGCUUCCUUCAUGUUCUCCCCUACAGAGAGACACAGAGGUGCUCCCCAAGGUGCAGAGAGACCAAGGGGCCCUAUGAGACCAAACACCCAGUUGGAAGGAGAACCGCAUCCGGACCCUGUGUCUCCAUAUUGACCAUACCACUGCUCUUCCCACUGCCAAAGAAUAUAUAGAACUCCAGCUCCUCCCACCACUUGAAUCUGGACUUGGCCUUGUGACUUUGGCCAAUGAGACAUCAGCAAGUAGAAGAGACAUGGGAGAUGCUGUUGGAUUGGGACCUGCCCUUUCUUGCUUCUGUCUGGGAACCCUCUGUCACCAUGGGAACAAGACUCGGUCUGCCUGCCGGAGGAUGAGAGGCACGUGGAGAAGUCUCAGUCGUUCUGUUUAUUCCAGCUUUCCCAGCCACCCUGGCUGAUGCCCCAGAUGUGGGAGUGAGCCCAGCCAGUAUCAUGUGGCAAAGAGAUGAGCUGGCCCUGCUGGGCCCAGCCCAAACGGCAUACCCCCUCAGGCGCACAUAAUGAACCACUCUGCACAAAGACUUGUCAGGAAUAAGCAAUGAGCACAACAUGAUGGCUUUCCUGCUGGUGCCCUGGAAGGGGCUGUCUAGUCCUUACAACCGGUCAAAGCAAAACCCCAGCUGUAAUAAACACAGGAGCAGCAGAAUACUUGACUUACAAUAGGAUGGAAAGG